rnacentral:rRNA from 2 species
GUUGGGUGUGUAAGCGCUGUGAGGCGUUGAGCUAACCAAUACUAAUUGCCCGUGAGGCUUGACCAUA